AGAUUAGCAAAAAAGAAAAAUGAACGUUAACCACGGAGAUGAAACUGAAGUUGACAAUGAUGGGGAAGAUGAAAGUAAGUUUUAAAUUUUGUAACUAUUUUAGUAGAACU
rnacentral:lncRNA from 1 species